UGGGGAAUAUUGCGCAAUGGGGGGAACCCUGACGCAGCCAUGCCGCGUGAAUGAAGAAGGCCUUCGGGUUGUAAAGUUCUUUCGGUAUUGAGGAAGGAGUGUAUGUUAAUAGCAUACAUUAUUGACGUUAAAUACAGAAGAAGCACCGGCUAACUCCGUGCCAGCAGCCGCGGUAAUACGGAGGGUGCGAGCGUUAAUCGGAAUAACUGGGCGUAAAGGGCACGCAGGCGGUUAUUUAAGUGAGGUGUGAAAGCCCCGGGCUUAACCUGGGAAUUGCAUUUCAGACUGGGUAACUAGAGUACUUUAGGGAGGGGUAGAAUUCCACGUGUAGCGGUGAAAUGCGUAGAGAUGUGGAGGAAUACCGAAGGCGAAGGCAGCCCCUUGGGAAUGUACUGACGCUCAUGUGCGAAAGCGUGGGGAGCAAACAGGAUUAGAUACCCUGGUAGUCCACGCUGUAAACGCUGUCGAUUUGGGGAUUGGGCUUAAAGCUUGGUGCCCGUAGCUNACGUGAUAAAUCGACCGCCUGGGGAGUACGGCCGCAAGGUU
rnacentral:rRNA from 1 species